UUCUGGAACGUACCCAGUGACCGAACCCGGAAGUUUGGGAAUACAGCCAAAAAAGCUGUCGCUGAUCCAGCAAGCUUCAACCAAGGCUCACUAGAUAGCUAACAAACUGUCGUUGUACAUGUAGCUAUCUCGCAUAUUUCUGCGGAUUCAAAAUGGAUGCGGAAACAGAGUGUUGCAAAUGUCACCUCUUGGAUUUGCCCUGGGAGGAUGUGUUGGUAACGCACAUCUUCUGCUACCUGCCAUUACGCCAGCUGGUGCGGCUACAGAGAGUGAGCAAGCAGUUCUAUGCCCUCAUCCAGGUGUACCUGGCCAACUGUCGCACCUUUGACCUCACACAGAUAGGGCCUAGCCUUCCCAAGGAGGCAUUCUGCAACAUACUAAGGGACAACAAAGUCCUACAGAACUUGUCCGUCCAGAACUGCUCCGAUUGGGUGACAGACACGGAGCUGCUGCCUGUGAUUGGCCAGAACCAGCACCUGCUGAGAGUAGACAUGAGGGGAUGUGACCGGCUGACCCGUCACUCCUUAGUAGCGGUGUCGUUGAGCUGCACACACCUGCAGUACCUGGGCCUGGCCCACUGUGAAUGGGUGGACAGCCUGUCCAUACGCAGCCUGGCUGACCACUGUGGGGGCCUGAGGUCCAUCGACCUGACUGCCUGCCGCCAGCUCAAAGACGAGGCCAUCUGCUAUUUAUCCAAGAAGUGUCUGAAGAUGAGGUCGCUGUCUGUGGCGGUCAACGCCAACAUUACAGACGUGUCUGUGGAGGAAGUGGCCAAGAACUGCAGGGAGCUGGAACAGCUGGACCUGACAGGCUGCCUGAGGGUUAGGAACGACUCCAUCAGGACUGUUGCAGAGUACUGCCCCAAGCUGCAGUCUCUGAAGGUGAACCACUGUCACAACGUGACUGAGUCCAGUCUGGACCCCCUGCGGAAGAGGAACGUUGAGAUUGACGUGGAGCCACCACUACAGAGGGCCCUUGUGCUGCUGCAGGAUGUGGUGGGGUUCGCUCCCUUCAUCAACCUCCAGAUCUAGGCUAAAGGACAUCUGUAUUACUCAUCCAACCAAUUGGAAACAGGUAGGCUAGCUAGGCUAAAGGACAUCUGUAUUACUCAUCCAACCAAUUGGAAACAGGUUUUCCUCCACUAGGAGAAUGACCUGUUUCAAUUGAAACACACCCUGUGUAUGCUGGGACAUCAAUUAAGCAAUUCAAGAAACAAACAAAAACGGAUGUAUAUGGGAAAUAUAUUGUGAAACUUGUCUCUUUUAUUUAUUACAGUGAUGUUGCAGAUUAUAAUUAUGCACUUAGGAAAAGACUGAAGGAAGCCGUGCACUUUUCAGUAACGCUGUCACGAGUCCAAAAGAUUCCUGCGGUAUUUAAUUUGUAUCUCAUCACACACUAACAACACUUUAGAUGGUCUUGUGAUCUAUAGCUUUUAAAAAAAGGACCGUUCCAACCAAAGGAGAAGCCGUAACUAUAAGAGCAUAUUGUUGAGUUUUUGUGUGUUUAUUGACAUGUUACUCUGCUAAGUGUACGAUACAUACACCUCUAAAUGUCUCAUACAGAUUAGCUUGGUAAACUUUUAUAUAUUAGGUAAGUAAAUGUUUUAUAUUCGGUAAAUAAACGUUUUAUAUUGUGUGUUUGCAUUGACCUUACAUUGACUGAAACUCUUCUCUUCGUACAAUAUUAUUUUUAAUGGUUAGUUGAGCUGAUCAGUCUUGGCCCAGCCCACCAUUUUGUUAAAAUGUGUCAUUUUAACAUGUUAUAAGACUCUGUAUACCGUGAUCUUGAACUCCUCCUUUUGCCUGUUUACUUCAGGAAAUCUGCUUUUCUAUGUUGAAUGUCUGAAAACAUGUAGGUCUAGUUGUAAAACGACAUUUUAGUUCCAUAAGCUUUCUCAUAUGGUAGGCUAUGAAGAAGGACACGUUUCUGUUUGUAAUAUGUGACUAUUGAAAAACAAUCUCAGUUUUACAUCUGGGAAGAAACAUGAGAGGAACAUGCAGUGUAAAGUCUAUGUUAAUGUGAUCACCCCACGUUGUAUUGUUCCACUGAGGAGUUACAGUAUUGAAACUAGUUGUAUUCCAUGUGUAAUAAGGGACCAUCCAAUCAUGUCUAUCUGAGAAUAUAAAGCACUAUCUAUAACC